CCUGAGAUUUUGCGCACUGGGCGAGCCUGAUGCACCCCGCCGCGUGAAGGAUGAGGCCUUCGGGUUGUAACUCCUUUUCUUGGGGACGAUGGUGGUGGGUCCCCCUGGAUUAGCCCCCGGUUAAUUUGUGGCCGCCGCCCCCGGUAUCAAACGU
rnacentral:rRNA from 1 species